rnacentral:rRNA from 1 species
AGGGCACUACCAGGAGUGGAUCCUGCGGCUCAAUUUGACUCAACACGGGAAAGCUCACCUGGUCCGGACACUGGAAGGAUUGACAGAUUAAGAGCUCUUUCUUGAUUCAGUGGGUGGUGGUGCAUGGCCGUUCUUAGUUGGUGGAGCGAUUUGUCUGGCUAAUUCCGAUAACGAACGAGACUCUAGCCUACUAAAUAGGUGUUCCGAUCCCAUCAGUCGGACGCUCUUCUUAGAGGGACAAGCGGCGUUUAGCCGCACGAGACAGAGCAAUAACAGGUCUGUGAUGCCCUUAGAUGUCCGGGGCCGCACGCGCGCUACACUGAAGGAACCAGCGUGUGUCCCUGUCCGGCAGGACUGGGUAAUCCGUUGAACCUCCUUCGUGAUAGGGAUAGGGGCUUGUAAUUGUUCCCCUUGAACGAGGAAUUCCCAGUAAGCGUGAAUCAUCAGUUCACGUUGAUUACGUCCCUGGCCUUUGUACACACCGCCCGUCGUUACUACUGAUUGGAUGGUUUAGUGAGG